AAGCAACCGCCGGAUGAACGGAAGUCAUUGAUGUUGACUAAUAUGGGCGAUGUCCGUUGCUUU
rnacentral:tRNA from 1 species